AUGUCCAGUGUUAAUCAUGCUCAGAGUAAAACCAUUAUUUAUUUUAAUGGGUCUACUCAGAGUAUGGCUUGCACAUAUUUUUAAACAGAGCAGGAGGGAGAUGAGAGUUUAGUCUAAGGCAGGCAUAGGCAAACUCGACCCUCCAGAUGUUUUGGGACUACAACUCCCAUCAUCCCUAGCUAACAGGACCAGUGGUCAGGGAUGAUGGGAAUUGUAGUUGAGUUUGCCUAUGCCAGGUCUAAGGGCUUAGCCUUUCCUCCACUUUUUCCAGGUACAUACUUUAAAGUGCUGUGUCCCAGCGUCCAUGUUUUUGCUCUGGAGCUUCCACCACAAAAAUGUCCUAAAUCGGAGCAAAGGGCAAUCUGCAUAAAACCCAAAUGGAUGUUUGCUCUCAGUGAGUGCUAAAGAGUGGGUUUUUGCAGAGAAUGCUUGGGGGUGGGCACCCAAGCUCAGACACAGAGCUUUUAAGCAGGGACCUGUGCUGGAAAGAGUGAGGAUAAAGGACAGUGUGGAUAAGCCCCAAGGAAAGGAAAACCAGGACAACUUCAUAAACAGAGGUAUGGUUGAAAAGAAUGGCUGGAGUGGAGAAGCAAGGAAAGAGAAAGGAAGGAUGUCGAGAAGAAUUCAUAGGUUCAAAUUAUGAUAUAUGUGCUGUGUGUUAGGUACCCGGCAACCAUACCAGAAUCUCUUUCAACUUGCUCAGAGGAAAUCUUCUUUCCAGAAUAGAAAGAGAAGUAGCGUGGACUCUGGGGUUUUGGUAAAUGGAAUGCCAUGUUCAGUUAACAAUGAAAUUAUAGAUGAUGUUCCUGUGAUGAUUGAAAGCCAGACUGCGCCACCAGCACACACAUACAAAGCUACUGUACCUGGGACAGAUCCAGCCACAUCAGUCAUCUGUGGCUGCAUGCUCCUAGAGUUCGUUUAAAAGGAUAUCCCUUAGUUUGAGCGCUCAUCACAGAGACGUCUGUGAACAUGCUGACUCUGCAGCCUGGGAGAACAGCGCUGAAAAGCGCAUCACAAUGCACAAAGUCUCCAGCGCGUGUGACAAAAAGAGGAAAAGGGGGAUGGGCAGAAGGAAGAAAAUAAGGAAGCUCAGCCACCAGUUCUUAAAUUUACUGCUCAUCCACGCUUCUGCUUGUCCCGUGCCUAGAAAGCACAGGUCUAAGUGGUUUUCUGCUUUCUAGGGUCCGAGCAGUUUUGUGUUUUCCCCACAGCUUUCUCCUGGAAACACAGUCAGCUCUGCCAUUAGGCAGACUGAGGCAGCUGCCUUCGGUGGCAGAAGGCCCCGGGGGGCAGCUCCACAGGCAUCCCAUCACCUCCACAGAAGUGGCACCAACAAAAAUCACAUGAGAUCUUGUGGAGCGUACAAGAUGCCCACGUCACUUCUCUGCUGGUGGCAGAUGCAGCGAGGGGGGCAGAGAAGUGGUGAGAGCGGCAGCAGCUAUGGAGGCAGCAGGGCAAGGUGACACUUCCUGUUUUGCCUCAAGCAGCAAAAUGGGAUGCACCACCCCUGCUCUUUGCUGCUGAAUUAAAACAAAUGACAAUCCAUGGAAAAGUCGGCUGCCAUUUGGCAGCAGGGCAAACAGAGGUGUGGGUGAACCCAGAAUAAAGUUCUUGUAACAUCUGGCCUGGACACAAACAGCUCAGGGAGAGGAGGAACCAAAUGGAUCUGCCUUUCAGCUAAGUGGGGCCAUUUCCUGUCUCUCUGAGCUGAGGGAAAAGAGGAACCAAACAGAGCUGGACUUCAGUCCCAGGAAUUUGUUCAAAUGUUCUAUUCUUGUGAAUUCUAGUUCAUCUGUCGAUUUGAAUGGGAAGCAACAGCAAAACCUUCCGCUCCAUCUGAAGUUUUUGUCACCUUUGCCUUAUUAUGCCUUAUCUUGUCAAAACGUUAGUUCCUCCUUUACUUCAAACUUUGGAAUUCCCUCUAGAGGAUAAUAAUAAACUUUUCUUGCUACCACCUCACAAUAGUCCAUUCUGCGAUACCUUUCACCCAGGGAAGUGCAGGCUUUCUCAAAUACAUGAAACCACUUGUAGGACAUGAGAGGAAGUGUCUCAUUCCCAAAAUAUAAUUAUAAACGAGCCUCAUACAUAUGUACCAUAAGUAUGUAUACAAACUCAAUGAGAUGUGUGAGCUUGCUUUUGCUAGGUAAUCUCAUUUAUAUUCAGUCUAAUUUGAGACAAACUCUUAUCUUCUCAUCAACACACAGAACCCUGUCUCUUUUCCGAUCUUUCGUAUUUGUCAGAGCUGAAAAUCAUGGAGAAAUGUAGAAGAAUAGCCAGUGCUCUUGAAUAUCUACCAUAUUCUGCAAAAUAUUUAUUUAUUUAUUUAUUUAUUUAUUUAUUUAUUUAGUUGUUGUUUAGUCGUGUCCGACUCUUCAUGACCCCAUGGACCAGAGCACGCCAGGCACUCCUGUCUUCCACUUUCUCCCGCAGUUUGGUCAGACUCAUGUUUGUAGCUUUGUAAACACUAUCCAGCCAUCUCGUCCUCUGUCGUCCCCUUCUCCUUGUGCCCUCCAUCUUUCCCAACAUCAGGGUCUUUUCCAGGGAGUCUUCUCUUCUCAUGAGGUGGCCAAAGUAUUGGAGCCUCAACUUCACGAUCUGUCCUUCCAGUGAGCACUCAGGGCUGAUUUCCUUAAGAAUGGAUACGUUUGAUCUUCUUGCAGUCCAUGGGACUCUCAAGAGUCUUCUCCAGCACCAUAAUUCAAAAGCAUCAAUUUUUUGGCGAUCAGCCUUCUUGAUGGUCCAGCUCUCAUUUCCAUACAUCACUACUGGGAAAACCAUGGCUUUAGCUAUACGGACCUUUGUUGGCAAGGUGAUCUCUCUGCUUUUUAAGAUGCUGUCUAGGUUUGCCAUCGCCUUUCUCCCAAGGAGCAGGCAUCUUUUAAUUUUGUGACUGCUGUCACCAUCUGCAGUGAUCAUGGAGCCCAAAAAAGUAAAAUCUCUCACUGCCUCCAUUUCUUCCCCUUCUAUUUGCCAGGAGGUGAUGGGACCAGUGGCCAUGAUCUUCGUUUUUUUGAUGUUGAGCUUCAGGCCAUUUUUGUGCUCUCCUCUUUCACCCUCAUCAAAAGGUUCUUUAAUUCCUCCUCACUUUCUGCCAUCAAGGUUGUGUCAUCUGCAUAUCUGAGGUUGUUGAUAUUUCUUCCGGCAAUCUUAAUUCCGGCUUGGGACUCAUCCAGCCCAGCCUUUCGCAUGAUGAAUUCUGCAUAUAUGUUAAAUAAGCAGGGAGACAGUAUACAGCCUUGCCAUACUCCUUUCCCAAUUUUGAACCAAUCAGUUGUUCCAUAUCCAGUUCUAACUGUAGCUUCUUGUCCCACAUAGAUAUUUCUCAGGAGACAGAUGAGGUGAAAGAAAAAUAUUGCAUAGGAACCUGGAAUGUAAGAACCAUGAACCUUGGUAAGUUGGAUGUGGUCAAAAAUGAGAUGGCAAGAAUAAAUAUUGACAUCCUGGGCAUCAGUGAACUAAAAUGGAUGGAAAUGGGCGAAUUCAGUUCGGAUGAUUAUCAUAUCUACUACUGUGGGCAAGAAUCCCGUAAAAGAAAUGGAGUGGCCCUCAUAGUCAACAAAAGAGUGGCGAAAGCUGUACUGGGAUGCAAUCUCAAAAAUGAUAGAAUGAUCUCGAUACGAAUCCAAGGCAGAUGUUCUUCUCAUUAUAGGGGAUUGGAAUGCUAAAGUAGGGAGUCAAGAGAUAAAAGGAACAACUGGCAGUUUGGCCUGGGAAUUCAAAACGAAGCAGGGCAAAGGCUAAUAGAGUUCUGCCAAGAGAACAAGCUGGUCAUCACAAACACUCUUUUCCAACAACACAAGAGACGACUCUACGCAUGGACAUCACCAGAUGGGCAGCAUCGAAAUCAGAUUGAUUAUAUUCUCUGCAGCCAAAGAUGGAGAAGCUCUAUACAGUCAGCAAAAUCAAGACCUGGAGCUGACUGUGGCUCAGAUCAUCAGCUUCUUAUAGCAAAAUUCAAGCUUAAACUGAAGAAAGUAGGAAAAACCACUGGGCCGGUAAGAUACAAUCUAAGUCAAAUCCCUUAUGAAUACACAGUGGAAGUGAGGAACAGGUUUAAGGAUUUAGAUUUGGUGGACAGAGUGCCUGAAGAACUAUGGAUGGAGGCUCGUAACAUUAUACAGAAGUCAGCAACUAAAACCAUCCCAAUGAAAAGGAAAUGCAAGAAAGCAAAGUGGCUGUCCAACGAGGCCUUACAAAUAGCGGGGGAGAGAAGGCAAGCAAAAUGCGAGGGAGAUAGUGAAAGAUACAGGAAAUUGAAUGCAGAUUUCCAAAAAAUAGCAAGGAAAGACAAGAAGGCCUUCUUAAACGAGCAAUGCAAAGAAAUAGAGGAAAACAAUAGAAUGGGAAAAACCAGAGAUCUGUUCAAGAAAGUUGGAGAUAUGAAAGGAACAUUUCGUACAAAGAUUACCAUAAUAAAAGACAAAAGUGGAAAGGACCUAACAGAAGCAGAAGACAUCAAGAAGAGGUGGCAAGAAUACACAGAGGAAUUAUACCAGAAAGAUAUGGAUGUCUCGUACACCCCAGGUAGUGUGGUUGCUGACCUUGAGCCAGACAUCCUGGAGAGUGAAGUCAAAUGGGCCUUAGAAAGCAUUGCUAAUAACAAGGCCAGUGGAAGUGAUGAUAUUCCAGCGGAACUAUUUAAAAUUUUAAAUGAUGAUGCUGUUAAGGUGCUACACUCAAUAUGCCAGCAAAUUUGGAAAACUCAGCAGUGGCCAGAGGAUUGGAGAAGAUCAGUCUACAUCCCAAUCCCAAAGAAGGGCAGUGCCAAAGAAUAUAUAUAUAUACACUAAUGCUAUGCCAUGCCAUACUAUACUGAAAUGCUUCUGUGAUUGUCCUUGAAUCUUUCUGUCACACUUGUCAUCCUCUCCUGCCACACCAGUGUGGCACACCACACCCUUUGUGAACCACUGUUCUAGCUAGACAAAAACACUUGAGGGUACAAAGCAGAGCUGGUGAUGUGAGGGGGUCAGGAAGCCUGUGGCCAGGCGAGAGUCGAAGGUCCAGGUAAGGGCACUGGCGGAGGAACGGGGGGCAGGGGGAACCAUUGUGGCUGCCCCCCUCCCCGACAUGCACCACACGCACCCCACUAUGGCGGGUGCCACGGCCCUGCGGGCAGCGCGCCACACCCCAAGGAUGCGCACCACAUCCCUCCCCCAGGAUGUGCACCAGUCAAGCACCCAUCUGCUCUCCACCCAUCUGCUCUCCAGCAUGCAGCUUCACCACUGGGUUCUCCAUCCCUGGAGUAGACAAUACUGACCUUGAUGGACCACUAGUCUGAGUCAUCCAUCCAUCCAUCCUUGCCAUGGAAAGGCUAGUGUGUCUGCAGGAUGGCUGCCCCUGUGUUUGCGCUCCAUGCUGCCCGCAUUAGCAGCCAGGCUUUGCUUCCCAUAUCCUCUUUUUUAAAAAAAAUAAUAUUUAUUACUUUUCCGACAAUUCAAACACACACAAAAAUAAGAAGAAAAAAGAACAGCACAACACAAUACAAAAACACUACACAACGCACUAAACUAACAGAACAAAAACAAUUU